UACCAAUUGCGAAGGCAGCUUUCUGGAUCAUUACUGACACUGAGGAACGAAAGCAUGGGUAGCGAAGAGGAUUAGAUACCCUCGUAGUCCAUGCCGUAAACGAUGUGUGUUAGACGUUGGAAAUUUAUUUUCAGUGUCGCAGCGAAAGCGAUAAACACACCGCCUGGGGAGUACGACCGCAAGGUUAAAACUCAAAUGAAUUGACGGGGACCCGCACAAGUAGUGGAGCAUGUGGUCUAAUUCGAAGAUACGCGCAGAACCUUACCAACACUUGACAUGUUCGUCGCGACUCUAAGAGAUUAGAGUUUUCGGUUCGGCCGGACGAAACACAGGUGCUGCAUGGCUGUCGUCAGCUCGUGUCGUGAGAUGUUGGGUUAAGUCCCGCAACGAGCGCAACCCUCACUUUUAGUUGCCAUCAUUAAGUUGGGCACUCUGAAAGAACUGCCAGUGAUAAGCUGGAGGAAGGUGGGGAUGACGUCAAGUCCUCAUGGCCCUUACGUGUUGGGCUACACACGUGCUACAAUGGCAUCUACAACAGGAAGCAAAACGGCAACGUUAAGCAAAUCCCGAAAAGAUGCCUCAGUUCGGAUUGCACUCUGCAACUCGAGUGCAUGAAGCUGGAAUUACUAGUAAUCGUGGAUCAGCGUGCCACGGUGAAUGCGUUCCCGGGUCUUGUACACACCGCCCGUCACACCAUGGGAGUUGGUUCUACCUUAAGGCAAGGUUUCAAACCCUUGACCACGGUAUAGUCAGCGACUGGGGUGAAGUCGUAACAAGGUAGCCGUA
rnacentral:rRNA from 1 species